rnacentral:rRNA from 1 species
AGAGUUUGAUUAUGGCUCAGGAUGAACGCUAGCUACAGGCUUAACACAUGCAAGUCGAGGGCAGCAUAACGAAAGCUUGCUUUGUUGAUGGCGACCGGCGCACGGGUGAGUAACGCGUAUCCAACCUUCCCGCGAGUAGGGAACAGCCCGGCGAAAGUCGGAUUAAUGCCCUAUGUUCUCCGAUGACGGCAUCAGAGUUGGAGUAAAGAUUUAUCGCUUGCGGAUGGGGAUGCGUCUGAUUAGCUUGUUGGCGGGGUAACGGCCCACCAAGGCGACGAUCAGUAGGGGUUCUGAGAGGAAGGUCCCCCACAUUGGAACUGAGACACGGUCCAAACUCCUACGGGAGGCAGCAGUGAGGAAUAUUGGUCAAUGGGCGGAAGCCUGAACCAGCCCAAGUAGCGUGAGGGAUGACUGCCCUAUGGGUUGUAAACCUCUUUUGUUCGGGAAUAAAGUUCGGGACGUGUCCCGUUUUGUAUGUACCGUUCGAAUAAGGACCGGCUAAUUCCGUGCCAGCAGCUGC